UGGGGUAUAGCCAAGAGGUUAAGGCAUCGGUUUUUGAUACCGACAUCCCUGGUUCGAAUCCAGGUACCCCAG
rfam:Buchnera aphidicola (Cinara tujafilina), complete genome.